CUUGAUUACUUCAGAGUUAGCACCAUCUCUUUUGGGCAGUCAGCUAUGUGUCUUUCUCAUGUUAUUAAGCAUUCAAAUGUCUUUUAUUUUUAUGGAAAUAAAUUGUGAAUUAUUAUCAUACCAAUAAUUGAAUACACUUAUGGAGCAUCUAUACUCUCAAACAUUGUUGGACCUCAAUUCUACUAAUUACAGAGCUGAUCACAAAGAGAUGCAACAGCAAAUCUAUCACUUUUAUCGUGAUUCCUUGAAUUUCUUUCUCUUUGAUACCUAAUGGCCAUAUAAAUUUACCUUCAAAGUGUUGCUCAUUUUGGGUGAUUAAC
rnacentral:lncRNA from 1 species